rnacentral:rRNA from 1 species
AAUAGAUACCCGGGUAGUCCACGCCGUAAACGAUGAGUGCUAAGUGUUAGAGGGUUUCCGCCCUUUAGUGCUGCAGCUAACGCAUUAAGCACUCCGCCUGGGGAGUACGGCCGCAAGGCUGAAACUCAAAGGAAUUGACGGGGGCCCGCACAAGCGGUGGAGCAUGUGGUUUAAUUCGAAGCAACGCGAAGAACCUUACCAGGUCUUGACAUCCUCUGCCAACCCUAGAGAUAGGGCGUUCCCCUUCGGGGGACAGAGUGACAGGUGGUGCAUGGUUGUCGUCAGCUCGUGUCGUGAGAUGUUGGGUUAAGUCCCGCAACGAGCGCAACCCUUGAUCUUAGUUGCCAGCAUUCAGUUGGGCACUCUAAGGUGACUGCCGGUGACAAACCGGAGGAAGGUGGGGAUGACGUCAAAUCAUCAUGCCCCUUAUGACCUGGGCUACACACGUGCUACAAUGGAUGGUACAAAGAGCUGCGAACCCGCGAGGGUAAGCGAAUCUCAUAAAAGCCAUUCUCAGUUCGGA